CCUAAUACAUGCAAGUCGAACGCUUCUUUCCUCCCGAGUGCUUGCACUCAAUUGGAAAGAGGAGUGGCGGACGGGUGAGUAACACGUGGGUAACCUACCCAUCAGAGGGGGAUAACACUUGGAAACAGGUGCUAAUACCGCAUAACAGUUUAUGCCGCAUGGCAUAAGAGUGAAAGGCGCUUUCGGGUGUCGCUGAUGGAUGGACCCGCGGUGCAUUAGCUAGUUGGUGAGGUAACGGCUCACCAAGGCCACGAUGCAUAGCCGACCUGAGAGGGUGAUCGGCCACACUGGGACUGAGACACGGCCCAGACUCCUACGGGAGGCAGCAGUAGGGAAUCUUCGGCAAUGGACGAAAGUCUGACCGAGCAACGCCGCGUGAGUGAAGAAGGUUUUCGGAUCGUAAAACUCUGUUGUUAGGGAAGAACAAGGACGUUAGUAACUGAACGUCCCCUGACGGUAUCUAACCAGAAAGCCACGGCUA
rnacentral:rRNA from 1 species